CCUUAGAGUUUGAUCCUGGCUCAGAACGAACGCUGGCGGCGUGCUUAACACAUGCAAGUCGAACGUGAUUGAGAGCUUGCUCUCAUGAAAGUGGCGCACGGGUGAGUAACACGUGGAUAAUCUGCCUGGCGAUUCGGGAUAACACUUCGAAAGGGGUGCUAAUACCGGAUAGGCCCACGGUCUCUUCGGAGAGCGCGGGAAAAGGGGGCCUCUGUAUAUGCUCCUGUCGCUAGAUGAGUCCGCGGCCCAUUAGCUAGUUGGUAGGGUAAUGGCCUACCAAGGCUACRAUGGGUAGCUGGUCUGAGAGGAUGAUCAGCCACMCUGGAACUGAGACACGGUCCARACUCCUACGGGAGGCAGCAGUGGGGAAUUUUGCGCAAUGGGCGAAAGCCUGACGCAG
rnacentral:rRNA from 1 species